GGCCGCGAGCCCGGCGCCAUUUUGGCGUGGUUCUUGGACGGGAAGCCUGAGAGGCUCAGGCUGUGGAGGACCUCGGCGCACGAGUGGUCGGGAUCCGGCCCCGGGACCCGGGCCUGGGGCUCCUGGCCCGGCCCCUGGGGACUCUUCACGUCGUGCACCUGCAGGACGUCGGGGGCGCUGCCACUUAGGCCGCUUAGCGCUUGCUGGGCGAUGUCGUGUGAGGACAGUCAGGUUGUACAUUUCUGUAGGGCAAGGACUGUCUUAAAAAUCUUUUGAAUUUCCCACAGAACUCAAGCCCAAAGUACAUAUUUGGGUGGCAUUGUCUUUGUGAGCAAGACAAAAUCCUAGAAGUCAGAGAAGUGACAAAUUUGACUGCAUCACAGUUUAAUACUUUGUAAAUCAAAUGAUACUAUAAACGAAGCAAAAAGCUUCCCUUGCAGCUAGGAUGCUCAUAUAACUAAGUUCUGGCCAGCGAGUUAGAACUGAAAGUAUUGUAUGAAACUUCUGGAAGACUGCAUAAAGGGAUCUGGCUUAUCUUGGAGUAAAUGUUGAAGAAGUAAGUCAGUGAAGGAAUGAACCAAGCAAUGGAGUCAAGCAAUGGGACAUGGAGAAUCUUCUGUAUUUUCCAGAUCAUCUAAUCUGAACAUGGAUAUAUGAGUGGACCAUGAGGACCUCCUAACAAGACUGUGACUUAAUCAUCAUUGUGUUGUUAGCCUCUUGUGCUGUUUCUCUGUUGCAUACAAAGCUCUCAGUAAAUGCCUGACAUCUGGAUGUUCAUCAAAUGUUUACCAAAUUGAAUUGAAUAUGUAUAACAUAGUGAAAUUUAUCAUGGGCUAUUGCUAUUAUACUCAUUUUGUGAGAUGGGUAAUAUAGCCAGAAAGAUCAUAAGAUUUGUCCAAGGGACUUAGAGGCAAUUUCAGAUGAAACAGACUAUUACCUGAAUGAAAUCUAAAACUUGCUGGUGUCUUUGUUUGGCAGCUGCAACCUCGCUGUCUGAGAUCGCUUCCCUCAGGGACUGUUGGGUAUUCAGAGAAUCCAGCUCCACAACAGCAGAAAGGCGGCAAUACAGACUAAUAAAUUUCUCUCUGUAGCUGCAAAAAUGAACUGGAAAAUGGACAAGCAAAAUAAAACAUGUUAAGAUCUGGUAUCAAAA